AGUGAACGCUGGCGGUAGGCCUAACACAUGCAAGUCGAACGGCAGCACAGUAAGAGCUUGCUCUUACGGGUGGCGAGUGGCGGACGGGUGAGGAAUACAUCGGAAUCUACUUUUUCGUGGGGGAUAACGUAGGGAAACUUACGCUAAUACCGCAUACGACCUACGGGUGAAAGCAGGGGAUCUUCGGACCUUGCGCGAUUGAAUGAGCCGAUGUCGGAUUAGCUAGUUGGCGGGGUAAAGGCCCACCAAGGCGACGAUCCGUAGCUGGUCUGAGAGGAUGAUCAGCCACACUGGAACUGAAGCACGGUCCAGACUCCUACGGGAGGCAGCAGUGGGGAAUAUUGGACAAUGGGCGCAAGCCUGAUCCAGCCAUACCGCGUGAGUGAAGAAGGCCUUCGGGUUGUAAAGCCCUUUUGUUGGGAAAGAAAAGCAGCAUGUUAAUACCCCGCUGUUCUGACGGUACCCAAAGAAUAAGCACCGGCUAACUUCGUG
rnacentral:rRNA from 1 species